AAAUUGAAGAGUUUGAUCAUGGCUCAGAUUGAACGCUGGCGGCAGGCCUAACACAUGCAAGUCGAACGGUAACAGGAAGCAGCUUGCUGCUUUGCUGACGAGUGGCGGACGGGUGAGUAAUGUCUGGGAAACUGCCUGAUGGAGGGGGAUAACUACUGGAAACGGUGGCUAAUACCGCAUAACGUCGCAAGACCAAAGAGGGGGACCUUCGGGCCUCUUGCCAUCAGAUGUGCCCAGAUGGGAUUAGCUUGUUGGUGAGGUAACGGCUCACCAAGGCGACGAUCCCUAGCUGGUCUGAGAGGAUGACCAGCCACACUGGAACUGAGACACGGUCCAGACUCCUACGGGAGGCAGCAGUGGGGAAUAUUGCACAAUGGGCGCAAGCCUGAUGCAGCCAUGCCGCGUGUAUGAAGAAGGCCUUCGGGUUGUAAAGUACUUUC
rnacentral:rRNA from 3 species